rnacentral:sRNA from 1 species
AGCAUCCGAUGAAAACGCCGUCGUUCAGUUCCGUCACUUGAACGGCGAGGAUUGGUCUGU